rnacentral:rRNA from 1 species
CCUGAUCCAGCCAUGCCGCGUGUGUGAAGAAGGCCCUAGGGUUGUAAAGCACUUUCAGUGGGGAAGAAGGCAUGACGAUUAAUACCCGUCAUGAAGGACAUCACCCACAGAAGAAGCACCGGCUAACUCCGUGCCAGCAGCCGCGGUAAUACGGAGGGUGCAAGCGUUAAUCGGAAUUACUGGGCGUAAAGGGCGCGUAGGCGGCUUGCCAAGCCGGAUGUGAAAGCCCCGGGCUCAACCCGGGAACGGCAUUCGGAACUGGCAGGCUAGAGUGCAGGAGAGGAAGGUGGAAUUCCCGGUGUAGCGGUGAAAUGCGUAGAGAUCGGGAGGAAUACCAGUGGCGAAGGCGGCCUUCUGGACUGACACUGACGCUGAGGCGCGAAAGCGUGGGUAGCAAACAGGAUUAGAUACCCUGGUAGUCCACGCCGUAAACGAUGUCGACCAGCCGUUGGACCCCUUGAGGGUUUGGUGGCGCAGUUAACGCAAUAAGUCGACCGCCUGGGGAGUACGGCCGCAAGGCUAAAACUCAAAUGAAUUGACGGGGGCCCGCACAAGCGGUGGAGCAUGUGGUUUAAUUCGAUGCAACGCGAAGAACCUUACCUGCUCUUGACAUCCUGCGAAUCUCCCAGAGAUGAGAGAGUGCCUUCGGGAGCGCAGAGACAGGUGCUGCAUGGCUGUCGUCAGCUCGUGUUGUGAAAUGUUGGGUUAAGUCCCGUAACGAGCGCAACCCCUAUCCCUUUUUGCCAGCGGUCCGGCCGGGAACUUCAGGGAGACUGCCGGUGACAAACCGGAGGAAGGUGGGGACGA